ACCGAUAACUUUUUUAAUUUCUACACUUUCAUUUUCACCCCUCUUAUCAUAUCCCUCUAUGUCUCCCUCUCUUUUCGUUAAAUUGUAUUUGUCGUCUUUUCACUUUUUCUUUCGGAGAAAAAUGUUUGUUAAUUACAUUAACUAGGGUCUAUUAUACAUCCAAACUAAAAAUAUUGCCUGUCUUUACAUAAGCCAUAAUGAUAAACUCCAAGGUCCCAACCAUCAUCAUCAUUUAAUUCAUUGUUACAUAAGUUUCACUUUUGAUAUUUGGUAUCAUUAAUAAUAAUAAUUUUUUGUAGAAAUAUCUUGAGAGCUUCAACAACUAGUAACAGGAACCUUACAAGCAUCUAUGAUCUUACGAGCAUUAGGAGAAGUAACAAACAAACUGUAGUCCGGAUUUUUAAUAUAACCACAUAGACACUGUUUCUGCUCCUUCAGAUUGUCGCAACAAUCUUUAGUUGGUUCUCCUCCCAUGCUUAUUGCCGGUAAGCACGGCAAGAGCUCCAUCGAAACACACGAUGGUGCCAAUUCUCCCAAACGUCCAACCGCGGUUGCUUUGACCGGAAAAGGACAGGACACAGUGACUAUCACGAAUGUGAUGAGUACGAACGUCGUGAACUUCAUAUCAUCAAGCCUUAGCUGCUUUUCUUUGCUUUCAAAUUUUCGUCUUUCUUAAAUAUAUUUUUUGAGGUUCUGGUUUUGAGGUUUUUAGGAUUGGAGAAUUCUUUUUAUAUAGAUGUGAGUUUUACAUAAUCGUAACGAAUAUUCCUGAUUGGUCGUGCCUGGAUAAGAAGCGUUUAUGCAUUUUGGCUAGCCGACAUUUGGCAACCAUGCAGGAGAACGUGAAGGUCAUUAUCUAAUAGUGCUCAGACGCGUGAGGAAUGUGUAGGUGUACAUCCCUAAAAAUGUAUAUAAUAAGUUGGGCUGAUUACGCCGUUACGUACUAUCAUAUGGGUUUGUAAAAAUAAGUAUGAAAAUUAAAAUGUUGUCUGAGCCCGGAUUUUGAUUAGGCCUUCUUAAAACUUUAUAGCUUCAUCGUAACUGAGGUUGUUCAUUUUGAUAAAUAUAUUAACUAUCAGAAAAUUGAGUUGUAUUGAAUUUUUGAUUGAUUAUAUAUAUAUAUAUAUAUAUAUUUAAUUUGUUCUGUAGAUUUAUAAAGAUCACAGCGAAAUCAAAAAGGUUGUGUGUUUCAUAUGAUUCUCAUGCUAAACAAAUAACAUUGGUAUUAUUUUAGUUUUUGGGGUAUUACCAUAAUCAAAUGGAUCACUAACUUAUCCAUGGAAUCCUUUGCUACGUCAAAUUCUACGCUAUCGAUGAAACUCUGAACUUUUUUUAUAUAUUUUUGUUAACUGUGGACAUCCCAAAAACUAUUUAGGCCUAAAGACUAAUCCUAUGAAAUCCUACAUCCGAGUAUAGAUUUGAAAAUAUUCCAAAUUUAAAGCAUGGUUAAGUGUUUAAUGAGAUUCGAGCCCAAACUCUCUCACUUAAGAGUUACUUUUGAACUCAAAACUUUCCCACUUAAAAGUUAUCACUAGACCAAGACAACUUGGUUGAUGAUACUGAAAACUUUUCCUUGUGAUUUGUCAAAACCUAGAUUCUUUUUAUCAAACAUAUAUAAUAGGUAAUCUUAUUUAAAAUUACAAUGAUACUCAGAAUUUUGCCCUUUAACUAACAUGGUAUCGCAAAUCUAUGAAAUUGUUUUAUUUUCUGUUUCUUAAAGUUUAUUUGAAAUUUUGGUUUUGAGGUUUUUAGGAUGGCAAACAUCAUAUCUUAUAUAUAGAUGUGAGAUUUACAUAUUCGUAUCCGAUAAUUUGGAUUGGUUUAUGCCAUAAAAAUUUUAAUUAAUAGUUUAAGCAUAAAAAUAAGCUGAUCUUUUACUGCAUUUCUUAAAAAUUUAACUUCAUUUCAACUUGAGGACAAAUGGAGAGGAGUUUUUUUUUUCUCUCUUUCUCUUUUCACUCAUCUCUAUCUUUCAGAGAGCGAGAGCACUUUUUCUCCUCUUAUGUUAAUAUUACGAUCAGUAUCGGAGUUUUUCUUCCGUUAUAAACAGAUAAAUAAUUUCUGGUUUUAAUCUGGUAAUAAGAUUCCAACGAGUUUGGAUUGUGUUUUACCCUAACUCCUCCGUGUUUUAGUCCUCUUGUAGAUGAGGCGGUGUUUCAGUUCCGUCGAUGCGUGGUACGAAUCUACUUCUUAACCUCUGCACUACAAGAAAAAUAUUUAUUGAUAGUAGAUUAUAAUAGCUCAGUUUUCAUAACUGCUAUUAAAGAUGGUAUGCUUUGAAGUGGAUUACUAUUUGAUAGCAUUUUAGUAAUGCUAAACACAAAAAUAUGUAUAGCGGGAAAAAUUCACUUGGUGAGCUUUAUUACACUUAUCGAGCGCCUACACUUAGCCGAAAAAUCAUUUUUGUAACCAAAAUAUUUUGGUUUUGCCCCCUUUUCUUCCAAUUUAACCAUUUUCUAACGCUAAACCUAAUUUUUUCCAAAAACUCUUAUGCUUUUGUCAGUUUCUCUCUAUAUUCUUCUUCCUAGCCUCUCUCAAAAUUUCCUAAGACUCUCUAGAUCCAGAAUCGGUACCGUACUCUCGACGUCCUCCAUCUACAAUCAUCUUUGUUAACUCCGCUUAAAGGUUGCGACUUGCUGCACUGCUCCUCUGCCAUAGCUGUGGCCACCACCGCCUCUUCCUUGCUCCUCCCUUCCAUAUCUCUCAACAACCUCUGCUCCUUCUUUAAAAAUGCCUCCCCCUCUGCUUCUCCGACAAGAGCAUCAGAAGAUCUAGGGUUUCCCUGAGCGUCUCUGCUGGGUCUAAGAAUACCUUCAAAAUUCUGGGUUUUUAAAUUACUGAUAAUGAAGAUUUUGGUCUCGUCGCGACUCUAUCUCUCUCGCCGAAUCCCUCUCUCUGCUCACUAUCUCUCGUUGACUCACUCUCUAGCCGCCUCUGUUUCUCUCUCGCUGCUUCACACCACCGCUCUCUCUUGCCGCUACAAGACCACAAAUCCUCGUACUCAGGUAUUUUUAGACCUUGGGUUUCUAGGGAAAGGAUUAGAUGGAUUUUGGUUAGUUCUGAUUUUUUUGUUUUCCUUAGUUCUGAGCAUCUAUUUUCGUGGGUAUGCUUCUGACUUUGAGCCAGUAUCACUUUGUCACUGAAUCCUUCAACUCUUAUCCGCAGGUGAAAAAUCUUCUGCAGCAAAUGGUGGGUUUUCUUACAGAUAUAUAUAUAUUUUUGUCUCAUUAGGCCUGUGAAUUGCAACUUCAAACAAGUAGAUUCUGUUAAUCUGGUCUUUUGUGUUUUUCCGCAAAACAUGUUCCAUAAAAUGUCGGACUCCAUUAUUGCAAAGAAUAUCCUUACAUCAAUUUAUGGUUUUACUUGAAUGUUGCUUCGAUUAUCAUAUUUGAAGUGUUUCCAAUAAAGAAUAAGAACCAUGAUCUUUUUUUUCCGUCAAAAAACAACCAUGAUCUCUAAUAUUAGUUUCUUUCUGCCAUUAAACUAUAUGAAAUGACAAUUCUCUAAUGACAUAUUAGAUGUAACGAUGAUCCCUGAUAAUUGUUUCUUUAUGUUUAAAUGUCUAUGUUAUAGAUAGUAUCACAUGUGUCUAUAUUAUGAUCUUUAGUUAAGAGUUCCUCUUAUACACAUACUUCUUUGCUCUCGCUGAUUUUCUUUUGUUUUCUAGAUGGAUUAACGCAACCGUUCUGGGCUCUCCCCUGGAGAUGGUCAGUUCUUUCAUAACUUUUCUCUGUAGGAAUUCAAUUUGAUGAUGUUUAGAAUGAUCACCGAUUUGUGGUCAUUUUGGAAUAAUAGGAAGUCUGUUUCUUCUUUGGGUUUGUUAUGAUUUAUGGCUUCUCAUUCUUCCUGCCUAACUAUUGUUAUUUGCAGUUAUGUCCAAACUCAUGAGCACAAGAACAUCUCAGUUCCGGAGUUUACAUGUGUCUCAUCUGCUAAGGUUUAAGUCAAUUAACUUUCUCAUUGGUUUAUCACUUAUGAAUGCUAGUUUGAUGACUAGUCCAUGGUCAGCUUCUAUUCUUCUAACAUGUAUAUUGUUUUCUUAAUUCUUAUAAUCACUUAUAAAACUUGUGAAUUUUUGUUUUGAUCUUCACGAAAUCAAUGUUAAUUUGCUUUGUAUGGUUGUGCAAGCUUUGAUAUGAUUCUUUAUCAUAGUUUGCUCUCAUCUCUAGAAGCUCCUAAAGGUUUUAUGGUUUUUUUGGUGUUUUAGGUUCCUCCUCUGGGUAAAGGAGCUUUGUAUAUAAGGCCUCUGCUAAUAGGGAGUUUUCUGAUUUGUUCACUUGUAUAAAUGAAGUAAGUUUUGAUUUUUUCAAAGAGUUGCAUUUUGUUUGUUUGUUUUCAGAAGCCUGGAUGCUUAUUACUUGGUUUCCAUAAGCUCUUUCGGUCUGCAAUCAGUUCGAUUCUGAUUUUUCUUGUGUAUUGGAUUGGGUGAUCUGGUGAAGAUGCUUUUGAGACUGCAAAGAGUUGACGUUUCUUCUUCUCCUUAAUCUCAGAGAAUGUGCAAUGGAAAGACUGAUUUGAGUCUGUUAUUUAUUUUUUAAUAUUAAAUUUAUAGAGAGAGAAUGUUUGGAGAGAGAGAGAAAAAAUGAAUUUAUAAUAUAAAAAAAAAUGAUUUGACACUUGUCUGCUGGAGAGAGAUAAUAAAAAAGAAAAACCUAUAAACUCUUGACACCUGUCGCCGAGAGACGUUUCUUCUGUCUCUAAAUUUAGAGACGUUUCUAUCCAAAUAUUUUGUUUUUGAUUUAAUUAAAUCACCUAAAAAUUUAAAAGACUCUAUUUAAAGACUCCAUUGCACAUGCUCUCAUUAGCUUUUGGUUUUAGUUCUUAUUCCUUCUCUCUGUUCUUGAGAGUUUUUUAAUUUUCUCAAAUUUUUUUUCAGAAAAGAAGAAUGGUUGCAAUACUUAGACCACAUUAAGUAAAACGAGAGACUUGAAUCAGUUUCAGUUACAUCUCAUCAUUACAGGUUUGAUUUCUUGGUCCUUUACAUGAAUAAUACUGUGUUUAACACUCUUAGGUCGAUUAUUAUUUGCACAGUUCAUCAAAAGCAGGUUUUGGUUACAAUAAACUUUUCUCUAGAACAAUUGGAACGUGUUUUGGAUACAAGAUCAAACCUGGUGAAGUUUUAUAUUGGACAAAAAACAGAAGAGGGCAACAACUGCUGCAAAAACCGGUUGCAAGAUGAUCACAUCUUCUUGAGGUAAUUUGUUCAGUUGGAUUUGGUGCAAUUCUGAAAUUAUGCCUUUGCUUGAUGACUUUGGAGAAUUACGUAAUCACAGAUUCCCAAUACAUCAAUAUGGUUUUGGUUUGUUGCAGUUACUAUGUGUGUUUGUUGCUUGGAACAAUGCAACUUAUGGCAUUGAUUCUCUCCCAGGCUAGGCAAGCUCUUCUCACGCAAAGAAUUGCUUCAGCACUUCAAGCAGCCAUGACCACGUUUUGUAAGACUUGUUUUUAGUAUGAUGUUUGUCCUUGUGAUGUUUUGUGUAAGACAUGUUUGGAUGUUUAAUAAAAAUAAGAGUGUUUUUAAUGCAAACGCUGGUUUCAUUUCAUAUAGUUUUGGAAAGCAGGUUUCUCUCAGUUUGAAAAUAAUUUUGUAAAACUACAGGUCGUAACCAAAAAAAAAACUAGAACACAUUAAACAAUAGCCCGGAAAAAAUGUUAUAAAACAGUAUACUAUAGCCCAGAAAAAGAGUUACAACACGUUAUACCGUAGCCAAAAAAAAGGAGCUACAAGAGAUUAGUCUAUAGCAACAAAACCGUGCGACAAAAAUCCAUAUUAUAAUAUGCAAAUAGUGCUACUAGAUUACAUAGAACAACGUCUAAAAUGAGUUACUAUAUCGUAAAUAACAAUACAAUUUUAACGCUAUAAUAGAAGUAUAUAUUAUUGUAUAAUCCGAAAAUGCUAUCGUAUAGGGAUUACCCUAUUAUAGUUCCGGAGAUCACAGCGUUCAUGAAAACGCUAUCAAAUCAAUAUAAUAGCGCUAAUCGUGAGCUAACAAUGUACAUUUUUCUUGUAGUGCUGGUAUCAUCCUCUCAUCCUCUCUCAACUGAAAGAUAUGCUUCCCAAAGUCCCUAUCAAUCGCCUUAAUGGCAUAAGGGAUAGGUCUUGAGUUAAAGAUGAACGGCGAUGGAAUUUAAGAAGAAGCAAGUUUUCAAUCACAAUUAUUCACCGGAUCUUCAAAGAGGAGUAAAAUUGGCGAAGAAACAGCGGUUUUACUGGAGGAUGUAGUUCUGAUUGGAGUGUUUUCCAUGGAUUAUGCUCUUCAAAUUUCGGUUUUCCGGCGAACUCGACGUCAUCGACGGCGUCUUCUCACCCUCAACCGACAUUCUCUCCUAAGACUUCCACGUGUUAUACACGUGUGUUAAAAUUAUCAACCCUUAUCUCUUGUGGUUUGGGUUAUAAUUGGGUUUAAAUUUGUAAGUUUUGGGCUUUCAAAACUGCUGUAAUUUGCUCAUAUAUGGGCUUUCGUUAUAAAACGAAUAAUUGACAAAAAAAAAACUUCAUUUCAACUUUUUUAUAGUUUUCAAUAUAAAAUCUAUGCCAUAUAUAUGUCUCUUUUAAAAUUAUUGAUUAUCUUUUGAUAUUUUAAUAUAUGAAACAUUCAAUAUAGAUUCUUCAAAUUAAAUAUGACACGUUGACAUAUGUCUCUAUUAUAACUAUUAAAUCUACAUCGAUUAAUGUCUUAAAAAAUCUACAACGAUAUAUGCCGAUAAAUUUAUUAAUUUCUACACUUUCAAUUUCACCCUUCUUAUCAUCUCCUUCUAUGUCUCCCUCUCUUUUCGUUAAAUUCUAUUUGUCGUCCUUUCACUUUAUCUUUCGCAGAAAAUUGUUUGUUAAUUAAAUUAACUAGGGUCUUCUAUUAUACAUGCCAACUAAAAAAAACUCAUGUUUACAUAAGCCAUAAUAAUAAUCUCCAAGGUCCCAACCAUCAUCAUCAUUUAACUCAUUGUUACAUAAGUUUC
rnacentral:lncRNA from 1 species